rnacentral:lncRNA from 1 species
ACAUAUUAUAACGCUGCCUCCCUGGUGUUAGAGUCGGACACCAGAGAUAACAGGUUACAAAUAAAAGGGAUUUCUUUAACUGGUAUGGUUUAUAUUACUAUAAGAUGUAUGGCCCGACGUCUAAUUGGAAUACCGUCGAACCAACACACUUUACAGCUUCGUUAACCUAGUAGACUCUAGAGGUCUAUCAAUAUAAUUAUUAUUUAUAAAUAAAAGACAAAACAUAUAAAACUUGUGAUCAUUUAUUUAACAAUCUUAAAAUGUCAGAGAGAAUGGCUGUGAAGGCUCUAGCUGUUUCUGGUUUGGUUGGGUUCCUGGUAUGGUUGGUCUAACUAAUUAAAUAUAUAUAUAUACACACAUAUAUAUAACAAUCCAGAGUAUAACCACUCUGUAGAUUCAGUCGACUAGUUUAAAAACUAUCAUUAGCAUAUAGCUCAUUCAGGCGUACAAAGGGUCUCAAUAAAAGAACACCUAUAAAAUUAUGUAGCCUUAAUUCAACAACAUCUGUUUAAAAUAACCAUCUGUAUAUAAAUACUAGUGGUUAUUAUCGUCACCAAGACAUAUAUAUUUCUUUGACUAAUUAAAACUAUAGGUAUAAUUUACCCUCUACAUAUAUUGUCACCAACUAUUACCACCCAAACUGAGUCACCGAGAUUUACUCCCAGCUUCUCCCAAAUUCGUCUCCUUAUU